rnacentral:lncRNA from 1 species
CUUUUUAGGCCUGCACUCACGGCAUAUGGAGGUUCCCGGGCUAGGGGUCGAAUUGGAUCUGUGGCCGCCAGCCUACGCCACAGCCACAGCAACGCUGUAUCUGAGCCGUAUCUGCAACCUACAGUACAGCUCAAGGCAACACCGGAUCCUUCACACACUGGGCGAGGCCAGGGACCAAACCCGCAAACUCAUGAUUCCUAGUUGGCUUCAUUAACCGCUGAGCUACGAAGGGAACUCCUCAAUAAUCUUAAAUAUUUUGUUUUUUUAGAUUAUCCUGAAAUUGAAAAGGAGACCAUUUGACUUGAUUUGUCCAUGUGUUCCCUGAGGUCAGAGCCUACUAUUACAUUUUGAAAGGAUUCUUAGGUUAAUCUUUUGAACUGUAAACUUUUAGAGCUAAAAUAUUUAUUAAAAUCAUCCUAUGGGGAAGAGAAAUACUAUUGUCUAUUGCAUCAUGUAUAUUUUGAAUCAAAUUUUUCAUGUCUCUUUAUAGAUACAGAAAUUGAAGUUCUUAUAUAUACAGAAGUUGAAGUUCAUUAUCAGGUGACCAAAUUUGGAAACAUAUGUACAGGGAGCAGAAGGGCAACAGAUAUCCAAGGAAGAGAGAAACACCUAUUUUCUGAGUAUAUAAAUACUCAAUAUAGGGUCAAUCCAAGUUAAAUGAAACUAAGUUCAGGGUUCAUUAUUCUGUUAGACCUUGCAUUUUUAUUUGUAUUACUUUUUGUACCAUUAUAAGAAUUAUUAAAACAAGUUCUCAUGAUUCACGAACUUAUAUAAAUAUAUAUUGAAAUUCAAAAGAUUCUAGGGACAAAGGAUGAAAACCUUUUAAGGACCUCAUGGAUAUGAGAUUUCUCAUGAGACUUCCCCAGACGUUUUAAAAUUUUAAAAUUUAUUGUUACAUGGAUUCCAAACUCCAGGCCCUAUAUAGUGGAAUUUUUAACAUGUUUCUUUUGGUGAAUAUCAUGAAAUUCAUGGCAAAGCAAGAGCUAGAUGUUGAGUCUGCAAAUGGAGGAGCUAUGAAUUCACUUUAAAAACUAAAGGAAGUGACUUAAUCAGACUCUGGAAUCUUCAGAUGUGUGUGGUGACCUGAGAGAAUCCAUUUUGGUACCAGAUAAAUUUGGGUUAGACUCUUAGUACUGUGAGUAAUAUGUGUCUUUGCUCAAGUUACUGUUCCCUUUUGAGUCUUGGUUUUCUUGUUUAUAAAACUGGGAACAAUAACACAUCACUGUAUAAAAUCUAGUUAGGAUUAAAUGAGAAAAAGCCCUUGCAAAAUGCAUGGCACGGAAUAGUCCCCUCAGUAUCUGUUAAGCACAAUAUUCUCCUUUCAAUUGCAAUGCAUCAAAUUGUCUCUCUCCAAGCUACAACCCCUAUUAAAAGAUAAAUCCACCUCUCAGAUUAUAUCUCUCGGCUUUGCUCAUGAAUGAAGGCAAAUGAUUGUUUUACCUAAAGAAAUAGAAAUGAUUGUCCUUGAACAGUCAGCAGAUUCAUGCACCUAAAAAUGAGCCACAUUUGCUGAAGUCAAACCUUUCAUUUCUUGCAUAUUUCCUUGAUAAUGCAAUUUUCAAAUGCAGAUUAUAUGGAAUCAAGUGCUCUAUCUUUAGGAGAGGAUGGUGUUUGAGUCUGUUCUGUAGUCUCUGAUACUUUUUCUUUUUCCAGAUAUACAAUUCUAUGGUAACCCAAAGAUAGUAUUUCAAGAGGUGUCAGAAAUUUGGUAGUUUUUCCACCUAUAAGAAAGCAAAGAGGGGGAAAAAAACCAACAUUGUAUGAUGGUUUAAGCAUUUCCUUAAGAUUAAAAAAAAAAAAAUCUGCAUUCUUUUUUUUUUUUUUCUUUCUUUUUUUGUCUUUUUGCCAUUUUCUUGGGCUGCUCCCGUGGAAUAUGGAGGUUCCCAGGCUAGGGGUCGAAUCGGAGCCGUAGCCACUGGCCUAUGCCAGAGCCACUGCAACUCGGGAUCUGAGCCGUGCCUGCGACCUACACCACAGCCCAGGGCAAUGCCGGAUCCUCAACCCACUGAGCAAGGCCAGGGAUCGAACCCGCAACCUCAUGGUUCUUAGUUGGAUUCGCCAACCACUGAGCCACGACGGGAACUCCUCUUUUUAGUUUUUUAAUCCAUAUGGAAUAUUUGGAUUUACUUCUACCUUUUAAAAAAGAACAUGUGUGAAUUUUCCAUUUGUUUAUAGUUUCAGACUAAUAGUAAUAACUCAUUAAUUGUUUUAGAAAUGUCAGCUACCACAUGAAGUAGUUCACACGUGUUAACAUGUUCAGUCUUCACAUAUAUAUAGAUAUGAUUCCAUUUUUUUGGGAAAUUGAGAUAAAAAGAAUUUGGGUAUAUUUCACUGUGGUCACACAAGUAGUGGAACCAGAAUUUGAACUUGGGGAGACUGGAGCUGUAUACUUAUUCAUGGCACAGUAAAUAGAUAAAGUCAGGAAAAAAAUAAUACCACACUAUGUCAUUAAUGAGGUUCUGCCAUUUGCUUCUAAUGAUUUUUGGUAUGCGUAUGUUUUGUGUAAAGAAUAGUUGUACUGUGUAUGAGUAAGUUUUUUGUUGAAUGAACAUUUUGUUUGCUAGAAAAUGGAUAACAAAAGGAAACAUGACAAACAUUCUAUAUUUGUUUAACUAUCAUGCAUGUGGAUGUGAAGGAGCAUUUUAUGAUAAGCUGGAAAACGUUGAAAAAACAUUCUUUUCAAUACCUAGUUUUUAGGGGUUUUCUGGUUCUUAGUUAAGAGUUUCGUUUUGGGAAAAAUACUGUGCAAUUUCCAAACAAUGUAAUUUCUGGUGAAUGUGUACUUAAUUGCCUAGUAGGUAAGAAAUGACUUAUCUAUGUAAUAUAUAAGGCAGCUUUUACUGUAUUAACCUAAAUAAUAAAAAUUUAAGAAUUAAAGACCACACAAAGCUUUAUUCAGUUAAUUGGAAUGUAUCAAAUACAUAACAGUGAUAUGCAGUCCAAAUAUGGGAAAUAUCAUUUCUACUUCUUUAAGCAGGACUCAAUAUUUUUUUAUGUAUUUUAUUUUAUUUUAAUUAUUACUUCCCCAAUACAUUUUUUUUAUACUGUAUAGCAUGGUGACCCAGUUACACAUACAUGUAUACAUUCCUUUUUCUCACAUUAUCAUGCUCCAUCAUAAAUGACUAUACAUAGUUCCCAGCGCUACACAGCAGGAUCUCAUUGCUAAUCCAUUCCAAAGGCAAUAGUUUGCAUCUGUUAACCCCAAGCUCCCAAUCCACCCCACUCCCUCCCCCUCCCCCUUGGAAACCACAAGUCUAUUCUCCAAGUCAUGAUUUUCUUUUCUGUGGAAAAGUUCAUUUGUGUCGUAUAUUAGAUUCCAGAUAUAAGCGAUAUCAUUUGGUAUUUGUCUUUCUCUUUCUGACUUACUCAAUAUGAGAGUCUCUAGUUCCAUCCAUGUUGCUGCAAAUGGCAUUAUUUUGUUCUUUUUUCAUGGCUGAAAAUGAAUCUGGCUAGUAUCCAUGGAGGAUGCAGGUUCGAUUCCUGGCCUCGCUCAGUGGGUUGGGGACUCGGCAUUGCCAGUGAGCUGUGGUGAAGGUUGCAGAUGCAGCUCGGAUCCUGCCUUGCUGUUGCUGUGGCAUAGACUGGCAGCUGUAGCUCUGAUUUCAGCCCCUAGCCUGGGAAGUCCCAUAUGCCGCACUUGUGGCCCUAAAAAGAAAAAAAAA